rnacentral:rRNA from 1 species
UGAGGAAUAUUGGUCAAUGGACGCGAGUCUGAACCAGCCAAGUAGCGUGAAGGAUGACUGCCCUAUGGGUUGUAAACUUCUUUUAUAUGGGAAUAAAGUGGUCCACGUGUGGAUUUUUGUAUGUACCAUAUGAAUAAGGAUCGGCUAACUCCGUGCCAGCAGCCGCGGUAAUACGGAGGAUCCGAGCGUUAUCCGGAUUUAUUGGGUUUAAAGGGAGCGUAGGCGGAUUGUUAAGUCAGUUGUGAAAGUUUGCGGCUCAACCGUAAAAUUGCAGUUGAUACUGGCUGUCUUGAGUACAGUAGAGGUGGGCGGAAUUCGUGGUGUAGCGGUGAAAUGCUUAGAUAUCACGAAGAACUCCGAUUGCGAAGGCAGCUCACUGGACUGCAACUGACACUGAUGCUCGAAAGUGUGGGUAUCAAACAGGAUUAGAUACCCUGGUAGUCCACACAGUAAACGAUGAAUACUCGCUGUUUGCGAUAUACAGUAAGCGGCCAAGCGAAAGCGUUAAGUAUUCCACCUGGGGAGUACGCCGGCAACGGUGAAACUCAAAGGAAUUGACGGGGGCCCGCACAAGCGGAGGAACAUGUGGUUUAAUUCGAUGAUACGCGAGGAACCUUACCCGGGCUUAAAUUGCAAAGGAAUAAUCUGGAAACAGGUUAGUCUUCGGACCUUUGUGAAGGUGCUGCAUGGUUGUCGUCAGCUCGUGCCGUGAGGUGUCGGCUUAAGUGCCAUAACGAGCGCAACCCUCGCCGCCAGUUACUAACAGUUAAAGCUGAGGACUCUGGCGGGACUGCCAUCGUAAGAUGUGAGGAAGGUGGGGAUGACGUCAAAUCAGCACGGCCCUUACGUCCGGGGCUACACACGUGUUACAAUGGGCGGUACAGAAGGCAGCUACCUGGCGACAGGAUGCCAAUCCCUAAAGCCGCUCUCAGUUCGGACUGGAGUCUGCAACCCGACUCCACGAAGCUGGAUUCGCUAGUAAUCGCGCAUCAGCCACGGCGCGGUGAAUACGUUCCC